ensembl:lncRNA
AUAAGAUAAAAACUAACAACAAAGCAGGACCUUUUCCAGCUAGAUGUUGGUUUUAGAAACACAUAGAUCCAGGCUGAAAUUUGUCUGUUUUCUGAGGCUGGCAGUGACCCACCCACUGCCCCGGUGCCACUUUGCAUCCCAGCUGGUUCCUGUGGCCACUGAGCUGUCCAAAGGGGCUGCCAUCUAGGUCCUAAUGCUCUGCCAGCAUAACAGCAGUGGUUGUGCUUGUGGAUGGACUUAUAUUUUGCUCUUUCUUUCCAGAAAUAAUGGAGUUCAGACUGCCAGCGAAUACCAGGGAUCAGCUGUGACCAAAGGACAAGUAAAGGAAGAUCUGAUGUCAAGCACCAGGGAAGCUGCUGAGUUCCCAGUGCUGUUGGAUCCACCUUCAUCUCCUUCUGCAGCCAUCAGGCCUGUCCUCGCUCAGGUGGAGGGUGAAGGGCUGUGGGGACCCAGUGGUGGCUUCCCACGUUGGCCCCACACAUGUUGUUGUAGUCGCUGCUCGGCUCGGGCUCUGCCCCCUCGCUGUGUCUUAGCAUGUUUCUACAAUAAAGAUAACUCCACAGCGUCCUGUCGCUUUUCUUCACUGAGCCUCACAGGAGGGACGUGUGAGUCCCCGGUCCGGCUGCUCGCCGCGCGUCCCUUGAGCACUAAGCACCAAACCCAAGUGAAGAUGUCAGACACAGACAAGAAGAAUGUGGUCUGGGUUCUGUUAGCAGGGACCAGCAGUUGGGUUCUCUGACUUGCUGUAGGGCCUUGGGUGUAUCUCUUUGCCUCCCUUCAGCCCUUUUCUCUUGCCUGUAAAAAAUGGACAUUAAAAGAUGCUUACCUACCUCAGAGGGUUGUUUGGAGAUUUUAAUUGGUUUGCAUUGGAGAGCCCACAGACGGAAUUCUGUUCCUACGCACCAAUGCUGGAGUGCAGGACGUUUAACUGUUGCAGUCAUGGCCUCUUCCAGCCAACACCCGAUGGGCCGUGUGUAUUUCCUGUUCUUUCGUUUAUGGCUGUUACUUAAAGCAAAUAUGUUCUUAUUUGUAUAAACUUUAUUGCAGGACAUUUCCAGAAGACCUUGAGUGAACGUACAGUGUUUGAGUCCACUUUAGCUAUGACCUGAUCUGCAAAUACUCUCUGUUGUAGAUAAGGCCGGAGUGACUUUCAGGUUUUGGCAGAAUUUCACUCAAUGCCAAUUAAUUUGGCUCCCUCCACAGAUAUUGAUUUUUUUUUUUUUUCAAUUAAGUUAUCGCGAUCUUUUUUUUCUUAAUGCAGCUAAUGAAAAUCGAUUUUUACUCUCAUAAAGUACUUCCGCAUGUAUCACAUUUAUCUGUCUAUGGUUUGAUUAUCAGCAGGCUUUGACACAAGAUUAAUAUUUUGUGUGCUGAUUUUUUUAAUGUGUGCAAACACUGUGGUUUAGAAGUACGUUAUCUCUGCUUAUUUCUAUGUGGAAAAUCCCACCUUGCAGUUAUGCAUGGCAGAAGUCACCAGUUGGAUCCAAUUUAGCUGUUUCUAGGGAUGCAAGAUUCCUCUGCCUUUGAGCGGGUGAAUCCUUGAAUGUUAUUUAUACUUUCUGAGAAGGAUGAAUAUCAGAUGGUAAAAAUGUUCACUAAUGAUGUCUGCUCGCUGAUUCUAGCUAAAAUCGUGUGCAGGGACCUCUACGUGAUUUUUGUAAAAGCAGUACACAAUUUGAGGCUUAAAAUAAGUUCUUGCAAAUGAAAAUCAGCGCACUUGAGAGCGCUAUUAUAACUUG